rnacentral:RNase_P_RNA from 1 species
CACCGCGUGUCUGGUAACAGUUCACGGCAUGGCAAACCCCACCAGAAGCAAGACCAAAUAGGAAUCCUAGGUGCGGCCCGUACUGGAUUCGGGUAGGUCCCUUGAGCGUAUGAGUGAUUGUACGCCUAGAGGAAUGACCAUCCUCGACAGAACCCGGCUUAUAGGCUCACUUCACCU